rnacentral:rRNA from 1 species
AUGAACGCUAGCGACAGGCCUAACACAUGCAAGUCGAGGGGCAGCACAAGGAGCAAUCUGAGGUGGCGACCGGCGCACGGGUGAGUAACACGUAUGCAACCUGCCUGUAAGCGGGGAAUAACCCGUUGAAAGACGGACUAAUACCGCAUAAUACUAAAUUACUGCAUGGUAAUUUAUUUAAACAUUUAUGGCUUACAGAUGGGCAUGCGCAUGAUUAGCUAGUUGGAGAGGUAACGGCUCCCCAAGGCAACGAUCAUUAGGGGUUCUGAGAGGAAGGUCCCCCACACUGGUACUGAGACACGGACCAGACUCCUACGGGAGGCAGCAGUGAGGAAUAUCGGUCAAUGGACGAGAGUCUGAACCAGCCAAGUCGCGUGCAGGAAGAAUGUCCUUAAUGGAUUGUAAACUGCUUUUGCAGGGGAAUAAAGUGCAUCACGUGUGAUGUUUUGUAUGUACUCUGCGAAUAAGGAUCGGCUAACUCCGUGCCAGCAGCAGC